UACGGGGGGAGCAAGCGUUGUUCGGAUUUACUGGGCGUAAAGGGCGCGUAGGCGGUCAGCACAAGUCAGUUGUGAAAUCUCCGGGCUUAACUCGGAAAGGUCAACUGAUACUGUGCGACUAGAGUGCAGAAGGGGCAACUGGAAUUCUCGGUGUAGCGGUGAAAUGCGUAGAUAUCGAGAGGAACACCUGCGGCGAAGGCGGCUCUCUGGGGACGGUACUGACGCUGAGACGCGAAAAGCGUGGGGAGCGAACAGG
rnacentral:rRNA from 1 species